rnacentral:tRNA from 1 species
AGCAGCGUGGCUGAGUGGAAAGAGCUUGCGAGUCGGAAGGUCGUGGGUUCGAAUCCCGCCUUUGCCA